CCCUUAAACCCUGAUCACAGGCUGACAAAGAAACAGCGAACACCAAACUCAAAAGAAAAGUUUCCGUUCUUCCAAACUUCUCGCAGGUUCUUGAUUUUCGACAUUUGGGUUUGACGAGCCAGCCGCGAUGUUGAGCCGAGGCGCGACCAGGGUGGUCAGGGCGGCGGCGGCGGGGGGGGCCGCGGGUCCCAGGUUUUUCUCCACCGUCACGACGCGUGCGGCGGCGGCGGAGAUGGCGGCCGCGGGUAUCUUCAAUGUGAGUAAGGCUCCGGAGAGAGCGGCGUUGACGUGGGUGAGGUUUCCGGUGAUUGGUGCGCGGCACUGCAGCACCACCGUGGCAUUGGAUCACGGCAAGGAUCGGAAGGAGGAGAAGCAGGCGGCGGAGGCUCCGGCUGGAGGCGCUGCCGCUGGAGGGUCCGGUGAGAAGGGCGUGGUCAGUUACUGGGGGAUCUCGCCGGAGAAGGUCACCAGGGAGGAUGGCAGCGAGUGGCGCUGGAACUGCUUUAGGCCGUGGGAGACGUACAAAUCGAACCUAGCAAUUGAUCUGAAGAAGCACCACGCGCCGGUGACCUUCAUGGACAAAGUUGCUUACUGGACCGUCAAGUCUCUCAGAAUUCCGACCGACAUAUUUUUUCAGAGGCGAUAUGGCUGCCGUGCUAUGAUGCUGGAGACCGUGGCGGCGGUUCCCGGCAUGGUCGGCGGCCUGCUGCUGCACUGCAAGUCACUGAGGCGGUUCGAGCACAGCGGCGGCUGGAUCAAGGCGCUGCUCGAAGAAGCCGAGAACGAGAGGAUGCACCUGAUGACUUUCAUGGAGGUGGCCAAGCCGAGGUGGUACGAGCGGGCUCUGGUUUUCACGGUGCAGGGAGUUUUCUUCAAUGCCUACUUCUUGGCGUAUCUCAUCUCGCCGAAGCUGGCUCACCGGGUUGUAGGGUACUUGGAGGAGGAGGCAAUCCAUUCCUACACGGAGUUUCUGAAGGAGCUGGACAAGGGGAAUAUUGAGAAUGUUCCGGCUCCGGCCAUCGCUGUUGAUUACUGGCAGCUGUCGCCGGAUUCGACUCUCCGGGAUGUGGUGAUGGUGGUUAGGGCCGACGAGGCUCACCACCGCGAUGUCAACCACUUUGCCUCGGAUAUACACUACCAGGGACAUCAGCUGAAGGAUGCUCCAGCCCCACUUGGGUACCACUGAAGGAUGUGAACAUCGUGUUGAGGUUGUGUUACAACAUAUGGGUUGAGGAGUACUUUAUAUAAAGUUCAAUCAUACAAUCCAGUUUCAUUGGGGCAUGGAAAAUAAGGCCCUGGAGAAGGAAGAUAAUCCGAGCCAUUGUAAGUGAGUUAGAAACUCGU